rnacentral:rRNA from 1 species
GCAUGGAGCUGACCGUUACUAAUAGGUCGAGGGCAUAACC